rnacentral:rRNA from 1 species
AUGAGUAACUGCUUUGUGAAGCCGACCUCUCGGAGCGAGGGCGAGAUCCUCCAGUCGGCCAACCUCGCCUACAGGGAGCUCAGGGCGGCCACUAGGAACUUCCGUCCGGACAGUGUGCUCGGUGAAGGUGGCUUCGGGGUGGUAUUCAAGGGGUGGGUCGACGAGACCACCUUUGCCCCGCCCAGCGGCGACAAGACUGGCAUGCCAAUUGCUGUUAAGAAGCUCAACCAGGAAGGCAUCCAGGGCCACAGGGAAUGGCUGGCUGAAGUGAAUUACCUUGGACAAUUGUCGCACCCCAAUCUGGUGAAGCUCCUAGGGUACUGUCUCGAAGACGUGCAGCACCUACUCGUCUAUGAGUUCAUGCCACGCGGAAGCUUAGAGAACCAUAUGUUCAGGAGGGGCUCACAUUUCAAGCCACUGUCAUGGAAUCUGAGGAUGAAUGUUGCUCUUGGGGCAGCCAAGGGGCUCGCAUUCCUACAUAGCGACAAGGCCAAUGUCAUCUACCGUGAUUUCAAGAUGGGAAAUGUUCUUCUUGACUCGAACUACAACGCAAAGCUGUCUGAUUUUGGGUUGGCGAGGGAUGGGCGAGCUGAUGAUAAGAGUCAUGUCUCUACAAGGGUCAUGGGCACAUAUGGAUAUGCAGCCCCUGAAUACCUUGAUACAGGGCAUCUGACGACAAAGUGCGACGUGUACAGCUUCGGCGUUGUGCUGCUGGAGAUGUUGUCCGGCCGGCGCGCCCUGGACAAGAACCGGCCAGCCGGCGAGCACAAGCUGGUGGAGUGGGCAUCGCCGUACCUGACAAGCAAGCGCCGCAUCUCUCAAAUCCUGGACGCGCGGCUGGGCGGGCAGUACCCCCUUGGCAGCGCGCAGAAGGCUGCUGCGCUGGCGCUCAAGUGCAUCUCUGUCGACCCGAAAGCCCGGCCAAGCAUGGAGCAGGUGGUGGCGGUGCUGGAGCAGCUCCAGGACGACAAGGAGACCGUGGUGACUGGUGGAGGCGCCUGCGGCUUCUUCAGGAUGUGUGGCGGUGGCAGGCAGCAGCAGCAGCAGCAGACGUAG